AGCAGUGUAGCAUAGUGGUAAGGAGCAGGACUUGUAACCGAGAGGUUGCUGGUUCAAUUCCCCACUGUGCCACUGCUG
rnacentral:tRNA from 1 species